CAUAAAAAAAAAUGUCCGCCGAGGAAGGCAUCACCGUAAUAUAGAUUCUUCUUCUUCUUCUCGCAAUUGAGAGAGACAUCAGAGUAUAGAUUCAUCGUUAAAUAGAUUCUUCUUCUUCUUCUUUUUUAUCGGUGACCAAAUUGAGAGAGACAUCGGAGUAUAGAUUCUUCUUCUUCUUCUUCGCAAUUUCAAAACCCUCUAUGUCCGCCGAGGAAGACGCCACCGUUACGGAGCCACUGGAUCUGAUUCGAUUGAGUAUCGAAGAGAGAAUCUAUGUCAAUCAUGUUGUGUGUGUAGUAAAACAGCUUAACAAAUGGCCGAUUCACGCCUGAAGAUCCUCAAGAACAAAAAUUAAAUUCAGAUUAAACAGCUGAGGCGAGAGUUAGCUCAAUUGCUCGAAGCUGGGAACAGCUUUACCAAUGGUGAAUUCACGCCUGAAGAUCCUCAAGAACAAAAAGGAGAUUCAGAUUAAACAGCUGAGGCAAGAGUUAGCUCAAUUGCUCGAAGCUGGGUGGAAGAGAAGACAGUGGCUGCCUUUGAACUCAUUGGCAUCUACUGCGAACUCAUUGUUGUUCUUUAGGUGUUAUCGGGUCUCAAAAAAACUGCCCCAUUGAUCUGAAAUAAGCGGUUGCGAGCGUAUUAUUCACUUCCCAGAGGUUAUCAGAUGUCCCUGAGCUCUCAGAAAUCGUUAAGCAAUUCACGACCAAGUACGGGAAGGAUUUUGCUACGUCUGCUAUUGAGCUUCGUCCAGAUUCUGGUGUGAGCCGCCUGGUAUGUGGAUAUGAUUUCAAAUCCUGAAGUGGCUUAUGUGCUCCGCAAAAGACAGGCACCGUAGGUUAUGAACGAGAUGAGUGAGGCUGAUUCAUUGCUGAGAAGCCCGAAACUUCAAAAAGGCGAACAUACUCAUGGGAGUUGAGUUGCUCCUCAUAGACUCAAAGUCAACAACCAUUCAGGGGUUUAUCUCCACACACUUCCUUCCCCGCUUCAAAGAGGACCUGAAACCCAACACAGUUUACAAGCUCAACGGGUUCAGCAUCAGACCUUCCAAAUCAGUUUACAGAGUCUCACCACAUAAGCACGGGAUCAGCUUCAACAACAAGACAACCUUCGCUCCUGUUCAUGAAGUGGACUACCAGAUUGAUUCUCAGCACUUUCGUAUACGCGAUCUCCAAGCGUUCACCGACAUUGUUGAUAAACACACAGAUCUUCUCGAUAUCAUUGGCUUUUUGCGAGUCAUCAAUGGGGACAACUUAGAGACUCAGACACCCAUGGCUACUGCCCCAGCACCUGCUGGUGAAAGAUCAAAGGAUAUGGUCUUCUUGCAUGUCCAACUUGAAGACGGCGAGACAGCUCGUGUUUAUCUGUGGGACAAAAUUGCUGCUGCUUUCCGAAGUAGAUGGAAUGAUAGCAAGACAAAACCGACAGUAAUCUUGCUCACCACUCUCAAUUCAGAAACACUUGGAGGUGUUGUUACCCUAAGCUCCACAGCCUCCACACGCCUCUUCUUUGACUCGGACAUCAUUGAGACAGAAAAAUUAUUAUCAAGGUUGCUAGCUUCAUUUGCACUGCAACAAUAACGGAUGUCAUGGAAGAAUAUGGUUGGUACUUCAUCUCCUGCACCGCCUGCAAGUGGCAACUUGAAAGGUCAGAAACAACUUUCAUUUGCCCUAACUUCAAGUGCAAGAAACCAAACACUGUCGGGCUCAUCAGAUACCGGUUCGAGGUUAAAGUUUGCGACGACAGUGGCAAUGAAGGAACCUUUGUCAUUUUCGACAAAGAAGCACUGAAACUGGUGGUAAGACA